UAGAGACCAACUAAAUUUGUUCUGGGUAUAAGCAUCUGUGUACAUGCACACUUCAUUGUAAGAAGUGUGCAUGCACAUGAAAGCUUAUACCCAGAACAAACUUAGUUGGUCUCUA